rnacentral:misc_RNA from 1 species
AGCUACAAAAAUCCGCACACAAUUGACUUAUAAAUCCAUUACUACCCAGCAAUUCACAAUCGGCUACAAGGACUUCGAGCUCAGCGCCAGGAACCUUCCUCGUAGCCACUGUCAUGAUGUCAUCCCAACAAGUUUUAAUGGAACCAAGAAAAUAAUUUGAAGUUGGGUGCCAAAUCUACAUUACCCGUGAAAAGAUUUCCGUUCGAAUUUUCAUCUGGGAUCAAGCAUGACAUCCUCUUCAUCACAUGUGAACAUAAGAAAUCUGACCACAUACCGGCCACUAUAUAAAGCUAUUCUCAAUGGCGACCUGGAGACCGUUAAAAGCAUCUGCAGUGGUGAUCCACUUGCCUUGGAGGCUAGGAUCACUGAAAAUUUGGACACUGCUCUUCACAUAGCUGUUGGGACUGGAAUGGCCAAUCACAUUGUCAUGUAUUUGAUAAACCGGAUGUCAAGACUCCAGUUGGGUUUGCAAAAUUCUAAUGGUGACACUGUCCUUUCUAUUGCCGCAAUUGUCGGCAAUAUCAGAGCGGCCAUAAUGAUAGUGAACAAGCAACCAAAUUUGCCUCAGAUUGCAAACCGUGAUGGGCGGGUCCCUCUGCUUGAGGCAGCCCGCCAUGGCCAAAAGGAGAUGAUUUCCUAUUUAUUAGAAGUCAGUGGAGAUUAUUUGCAGGCAGCUGAAUAUUCUGCUGAUAAACCUGGUGUUUUCUUUAUGAAUCUUCUUGUUCUUGCUGGGUUCUAUGGUAACUAGCUAUUGUCAAGGCUUUCCUGAUAUAUUUCUUGCUUUGCGGAAACAAAUCUUUUUAUUAGAUGUAAAUAUUCCUGCAGACUUGGCCCUGGAAUUGGUUCAAAGUCAUCCUCCAUUAGCUAGAGUUGAAUAUUAUGGUGGUGAAUCGCUUUUGAGUGCAAUGGCAUUAAAACCAUCCACAUUUCCUAGUGGUAUACAACUCAAUUUCUGGCAUCGCUUAAUUUAUUGCUGUGAGUAUCUCAGACUUCAAAAGCUGUAGAAUUUAAAUUGUGUAAUCUUAGAUCCUUUCUCUUCCUUUUCUAUUUUUGUUCCAUGAUGUUCAAGAUUCUUUACUGCUGCCUUGAAUUGAAGGUGCUCCAAUGAAGUUAAAUUCCGGAGGCAAACCCAGUGCUGUAGAUGUAGAGAAUCCGCAACAUCAUCAGCUUGUAACGGGAUCUCCACUUCUGCGAGCAAGAAAUUCUGGUUCGUCUUAGUGCCUUUUUCCCUUGAAUACUGGAAAUUUCUUCUGCAUGAUAAGGCCGUACAUUUGGCAUUCACGGUGCAAGUGACUUUCAACCUUGAGUUGUUGCCAGUGAUCACUUGGAUCCUUAACGGUUUCCUUGCAUCUACAGGUUUCCUCUCUGAUCUUGAGUAAUUUUAGGUUUUUCCUUUUUCCUUUUCCAUACAGUGGUCGAAACAUUGGUGACGCUCUCAUGGAGAAUCCUUGCAAUGUUAGGUAUGACACAGGCACACUGCUACUUAAGCUGGCUGUUUUUCAAUAUGCAUUCAUCCCAUCGAUGAGCUUGAUCCUACUGCAGUUCCCCCCAUGAAGGGUAUACGAGACAUAAAAUUGAUGCAUCACCAAACACUUCAACUCACCAAAUGCCUAUGCACUGAAAUUGCAUGUCUGGAUUAUGAGAAAGCUUCCAUGAUGCUUAGAAGACCGUUUCUUCUGGCAGCAGAGUUGGGGAUUUAUGAAAUUAUGGAAGAAAUAAUGGAGUCAUUUCCUCAUGCUAUUUGGUUUUCAGAUAAUGAGAACCAUAACCUAUUUCAUAUUGCAGUAAUGAACCGUCAAGAAAACGUUUUCAACCUUUUAUAUCAAAUUAGUGACUACAAACAUCGACUCUUGGUCUCUGAAGAUAUUUUUGGUAACAAUAUCUUGCAUUUGGCUGGAAAAUUGGCACCUCAACACCGACUUAAUCUCAUUUCUGGUUGCAGCUCUUCAGAUGCAAUAUGAAUUACGUUGGUUUAAGGUAACUGACUUUCAUUCUGUAUUUCUAAGAAGAAACUGAUCUAAAUCACGUUUAGCACUAAUUUAUACAGGAAGUGGAGAAGAUUGUACAACUUGCCUGCAAAGAGGAUAAAAAUUCUGAAGGAAGAACUCCUGCAAUGUUAUUUACAGAGGAACACAAGAGAUUAGUAAAAGAAGGUGAGAAAUGGAUGAAAGACACAGCAAGCUCAUGCACAGUUGCAGCAGCACUAAUUGCUACAGUAAUCUUUGCUGCAGCAAUCACAGUACCUGGCGGAAACAACAAUGACGAUGGUUAUCCAAUCUUCUCCAAACAAAAAUCAUUUACAAUCUUUGCAGUAUCAGAUGCACUCCCUCUUUUCAUCUGUAGCCGCCAUCUUAAUGUUCUUGUCCAUUCUCACAGCACGAUAUGCAGAAGCUGAUUUUCUUUAUUCUCUUCCCAAAAGGUUAAUAUUCGGUCUAGUUACACUGUUCCUCUCCAUAACAUCCAUGAUGGUAGCCUUCAGUGCCACACUUUAUGUAGUCUUUUGCAACCGAAAGGCAUGGAUGCUUAUUCCAGUGGGUGCCUUGGCUUGUUUGCCAAUUUCCUUGUUUGUGUCGCUGCAAUUUCCACUUCUCGUAGAUAUGAUCUAUUCCACAUACAAACCUAGAUUUUUUGGUAAGAAAAGCAAAUGCAUGCUACACUAGGUUAGCACAGAGUGAGAGAAUCUUUUGCGCAUAUUUACUUGUAUCAACAUCCACAAAUAAAGGAAAUAAAAUCAUCACAUUUUUUUCCUAGUUUUUGUUUUCCCCUUCAAGUCUUUACCUGAAAGUAAUUGGUGAUUCAUUUACCAAAAAGAAGUAAUUGGAGUUUCUCGGAUAAUAAGUCCAUACAUUGCAGUAGCAGAUUUAAUUGAACAAAAGUAGACCUUGGAGAGCUUAACCGCAUCCUUGUAAUUCAUUUGGCUUAAUACAAAAACUUUUUCAACUAUUAACAUCACGUAUACCAACUACUUUACACUACAAAGAAGGGUGCACUGAAGAAUAUCGCAAUGGAAAUUCUGGUGAAUCAGGUACCCAAAUAUGUUCCAGUACUGGAGACAUCUUCAAACCAAUGGUUUCUAAUUCUGGAUUCGAGUAACCAUCUAGGAACACGUUUGUGAUCUGCAAAGAAAGUACCAUGACAACUUACAAGUCCAAGGUCCAGCAACUGUAUUUCCACUGACCGCAUCCAAAAAGUUUAAGCUUCCCCAAUGAUGAACAGCUAUCCACAAUCAAACCCA